AUACCAUUUCAGUACUUUUGACACCAUUUCAGUACUUUUGAUACCAUUUCAGUACUUUUGACACCAUUUAAGUAAUUUUGAUAUAAUUUCAGUAUUUUGAUACCAUUUCAGUACUUUUGAUACCACUUCAGUAUUUUGAUACCAUCUCAGUAUUUUGAUACAAUUUCAGUACUUUUGAUACCGUUUCAGUACUUUUGAUACCGUUUUAGUACUUUUGAUACUGUUUUAGUACAUUUAAUACAAUUUCAUUACUUUUGAUACUGUUUUAAUUCUUUUGAUACUGCUACAGUCCUUUUAAUGCUAUUUAUUUUGAUGGUAUUUCAGUACUUUUCCCCAGUUUCCUCCAAUGUAAGUGUUUCAUUCAGUGGAAUGAGCCGCGUUGAGUGACAUCAUCACAGGCUCAACCAAUCACAGCACUUUAUCUUGGGGUUUGGAUGUUGUGAUUCAUUAGGCACACAGUUGCAUGGGAAUGCUCGUCAGGAAAGCCCUUGUUAGAGAGCUGCUGAUUAACACAGCUCUCAUUAGUGUGAUUCCUACUGCACAGUGGUGUAUCUCAGAUGGCUCACAGUUCUUCUGUGUGUAUUGAUCUUAUUGAUCACACAGCGUUUCCAUUUUAGACUCUGGUAACCAAUGGAAACACACUUCUCUCCUGAUUCACACCAGAACACUUUUUCACUGGAGGAAGUGUUAUUAUGGAUUAUAGACUCUAUGUAUUUUAGUUAAAAACGUCUUAAUGCUGGAUUUGUUUCAUCUUUUGUCUUCUCCAGAUGUUCACUGAUGGACUAGAGUGCUGUGGAUUAUUGUGAUGUUUUUAUCAGUCAGAUGCAAUGGGAAGGUAAUCAUGAUGUUUGUGUGUGUGUUGUGUUUCAGUCACGGCUCUGCUGAGGAAGCUGAAGCAGCAGUCACGAGAGAGUGUGGAGGACAAGAGACCCCGUCUGCUCAAAGCACUGAAAGAGCUGGGUGACUUCUAUCUGGAGCUGCACUGGGACUUCCAGAGCUGGGUGCCUUUACUCUCACGGAUCUUACCCUCCGACGCCUGCAAGAUCUACAAACAGGGCAUCAACAUCCGGUACGUCUGAUCAGAUUCAUACACACCACACUAACUAAUGUCAGCUGACACCAGGACUAUUUACAGUUCACUCAAACGCUGAGAAAAAGCUUGAUACUUGAAAUAAAUCACACUUCAACAGAAAAUAAUAUAUAAAA
ensembl:lncRNA